GAUGAACGCUGGCGGCGUGCCUAAUACAUGCAAGUCGAGCGAACAGACGAGGAGCUUGCUCCUCUGACGUUAGCGGCGGACGGGUGAGUAACACGUGGAUAACCUACCUAUAAGACUUGGAUAACUUCGGGAAACCGGAGCUAAUACCGGAUAAUAUAUUUAACCGCAUGGUUCAAUAGUGAAAGACGGUUUUGCUGUCACUUAUAGAUGGAUCCGCGCCGCAUUAGCUAGUUGGUAAGGUAACGGCUUACCAAGGCAACGAUGCGUAGCCGACCUGAGAGGGUGAUCGGCCACACUGGAACUGAGACACGGUCCAGACUCCUACGGGAGGCAGCAGUAGGGAAUCUUCCGAAAUGGGCGAAAGCUUGACGGAGCAACGCCGCGUGAGUGAUGAAGGUCUUCGGAUCGUAAAACUCUGUUAUUAGGGAAGAACAAAUGUGUAAGUAACUAUGCACGUCUUGACGGUACCUAAUCAGAAAGCCACGGCUAACUACGUG
rnacentral:rRNA from 1 species